AUGUUAUACCUAUGGGCAACUUCCUAUCUGAAAACUAAAAAUCCAGCGAAAUUCCAAACCGUAUUUGGGACAUCAGUUAAGUAUUGUUUACCAUGUUGGGUUACAUUUAAAAAGAGGGCGGGGAAAAAUACUGACAACUUUGAAAGCGUAAAGCUUUUUAAAUCUCCCACUAAAUCAUUUGUGAAUAUAUCGGUAGACUACAUUCAGCAGCUGCUAGACUGGAGCAGAAGAUCAAAGUUUUCCCUAUACUUGAGAAUGCUUAUCCCCACCAAAAAGGAACAGAAACCAGUCAUCCUUGCCACUGGAGCCAGUUGCCCGGAAUUUCCUAAAAUAUGCCUGAUCUGCAAGCGAAGGAGGAGCACUUCUCCGGAGACCAAAGGCGAGAGGUAUCUUACAUCUUUUGCAGACGAGAGGAGGGGCGGGAGCAGGGAGAGCACUAGCAGUUCCCUCUGGCGCAGGUCCGGCCCCGCUCCCCCGCCCGGGAGUCACUUCGGCAGCGGCGGCCCAGUCGCCAUUACAGCCCAACAACUGACACGGAGGAGGAGCGGCGCCGGCGGCAGUGGCAGUGGCGGUCGCGCGAGGCAGGGCGGGAGCAGUCGGGGCCCAGGCAAACCUCGCGAGAACUGUCCCGACACGGUUCUACAGGAAUACAACCUUCGGUUAGGGCCAUGUUGAGUGUGGCCGAAAGGUGCAGGAGAGAGAACGAAGAAAGGACACUCGAGAGCGCCAUGUUUAGUGUGGCGAGUUUGUGCCUUGCAGGACUCGGGAGGAGCCAAAGUAGAUCCGCAGCGGAGACCUCUCUCCACCCCCACCCCCCACCCUCCUUCCUCGGACGCUAAUUGGGCCUUUUGGCUGCGCAUUUCACCCCGGGCCAAAAAAACAAGCUAGGGGUUUGACCAGGGUGCGCUCAGAAGUCGAAAUUACAGCUUCUCAGAGUUUACGAUGUUUCACCAAUUGUCGUCCAAGUAAAUCUUCUUUACCCCAAUCAGUUUCAGAGCAAUUGCAGCGCUGCGGCUGCUGCAGUUACCCACUGCUGUCACUGGCCGUUUUGUUCGCGAGGGUUAACGAUUGUGUUCAGCAUGCAGUCUGUCCAAUGGCUAGAGACGCCAGAGCAAGGAAAACGGAGUUUCCUCCCGUUUAGGUAUAGGCAUUGGUAGAACUGUGCUUUGAGAGACUUUGUGUGAUCAACAUAUCUUCUAAUAUCUUUAUCCUCUUUCCCCAGUCUCCGAAUGGUGAAUUCUAAUGUGUGUCAGGACUUAGCUUAAAUGACAUGUCUUCUGCAAAUAAUGCCACCUUCCGCUAGGUGCUCACUUCGCACAAGCUCUCUGCCCAUCACUUUCCUGCACCUUCUGAACUCCCACAACUGUUUACCCAGAGACUAUUUCUCAUCUUUAAGUAUCUUGAAGACGCUUGUCUCUCUCUGUACCCCAGUAGGGCCUAGCUCAUUUUAGGUGCUGGAUAACUGCUAACUGCUAGGUGUAACUAGGACAUUUUAGGUGCUGGGUAACUGCUUAUUGGGUAGACCUCAUCAGUAAAAGCAGAAGGCAGUAACCGCUCCUUCUCUGUAGGGCUUUUAACUGUGCCUGAAUAGGACGUAUGUGGAUGUGCAGAAAUGGUCCUGCACAUAUGUAAAAUCUUUACUGUGUCUCCAGGAGGCUGUACCGGAGGGAAGAACAGGAAAUGUGGGUAUCCCAGUGGUGCCAGGGGUAGUGAGAAAACAACAUAAGGAAAAAGUUAUUUUCCUCAUCCUUUCUGUGUAAAGCAGUGGGAUAGAUGUUUUUCAUAUGUUAUUUUCCUGAAUUUAUACAACCACCUUAUUAAAUAUUAUACUCACGUUUUUAAAAAGAGGAAAUGGGAAGGGGGCGCCUGACUGGCUCAGUGGGUGGAGCGUGGGGCUCUUUAUCUCGAGGUUGUGAGUUGGAACCUCACUUUAGAUGUAGAGAUUACUUAAAAAUAAAAUCUUUAAAAGUGGAAAUGCGUUGUGAAAA
ensembl:lncRNA